GAAUAAGGACGGUUAAACAAAGAGUAAGAGCGACGACGGCACCAACGUAUAGGACGAUGGACGACAGGGUAGGAACGAGAUGAAUUUUUUCUUUUUUUUAUAAAAAGGAGGGCUUCCGAGAUCUCCGCCUCCUCCUCGCCUUGGUCCGGAAAGCAGGAGAAAGAUGCCGGUUCUGCAGGUCUUCGAUGCGCGCCCAGGGAGGAAGAAGGGUGUCCGCCUAGUCCCUCGGAGACGUCUAACUGGAAGCAAACCUAAGCCUAAGUCCAAACUAGGUUGGGUUUAGGUUUAGCAGACUAAACCGUUCCUAAACUAGUUGUUGACCCCUAGGACUCAACUUAUACUAUAGUUUAGGCCACUUAACCAUGUCAAAGCCCGGACCUAUCUUCGACAUCACUACGGUCUAACCUUCCGCCCGCUCAAACUUCCAUUUAAGUUCCUACUUAAACGAGCCCCAUUAUCGUUGAACGUUCUUCUACCUCGUCCCGGAAACUUAUAGAGUUUAUUCUUUGACUUCGUACCCUAAUGGUGACUUCUCUUGGGCGUCCCACAGCACAGAUGUCGUUGAUUAAGUCUAAGUGCCUUUGAAUUAAGUCUGGUGUAGAUGAGAUGGACACACCAUCGAAGGCUGGUACAUUCUCUGACGUUUUAACUUAGUUCACGAAAAGGGAACUCGUCUCUACUAUGAUGUAGACCUUGUUCUAUGGUUUGUCUUUUGACCUUGUUAACGGUCAAACGUGACUCAUUACCGAGUCGACAAGAGUUGUUAGUGUCACAAGGCGUUUCACUAGAGUUAAUACCUCUAUUACUAGAUUUGAAGUAACUAACCGGAUCGUAACUAUUAAAACUCCUACAACUAUGUGAUAAGUCCCCCACACUAAGGUGUAUACCACUUGUUGUUGACCUCUUGUGACUACUCGACAGUACCUAAGGAAGAAGUCUACGGUAAAUGAGAAGGCUACAACGAGACGUCCGUCCAAAACUGAGAAGAAUAAGUCUGAUACCAUACGACCUACUGGACAGUCGUAAGGGAACACGUGUUCUAUUUAGGGAUGGUUGUCGUCUGCUCGUUAAGUUACUGUUAAUAGGUAAGUUACUCGUUUUCUUACAACUACAUAUACCUCUUGUCCGAAUGGUCCCCCCACGUUACCUUAACAACAGGUGACUGGUCUAUACGUUACCUCUACCUUUGGAACUAUACUAACCGCUCGCUAUAAGUAGUCUUUUACGGAACGUUGUCAACCUCCUGUCCUUCAAAAGACAUGGAAGUCCUAGAGUUAAUUCGAGGAGGGUCUUAAAUGACUUCGUUUUCGUGGUGAGUCUAUUUUGAAGUGGUUAAGUUUUUGUUCACCGAUUAAACGUUGGUCCUGUCGAGUAUUUACUACUUCCUGUUGAACCAGUUGUUUGUAACAGAUCUUCUCGAAGUAUAGGAACACUCUUGAUGCUCCAACUUUUCUUCCCGAAACCUUUUUCUUCAUUCCUAUGUGACCCAUGUAGUCAUCACCACCUACCGAGAAAACACAGCAGAGAAAGAAGACUAUUAAGUCAACUUCUUUCGUCGAAGGCUGUUGAAGUCCUACGUCAAUCAGUCAACCUACACUUUUGGUUUGACACGUAAUCUCUACCAAACAUGGCGGACCGUUCUUCGCGCGUUUUAGCUGGUCAAAAGGGUUUACGCUAGUUAUCUGUACUUCUUUCGGCCCUACGUUUCCUAUGUGUUUUAUACCUUUGAAGCCCGUUCAAACAACUAGUAUCCUCGUAACUCUGCGUCUGUUUAGGUUAACUAGCAAGAUAUCGUGAGAAUGAAAAAGUAGUCGGUAGUCUGGUUCACCGACCUCGACAACUGUUAGGAGCGGUGAUUUUAGAGUAUUGCUCUUGGUGUUCCGGAUACGAUUUUUGAUCCAACGUUAACACUUACAAAUAGGCUAUACCAUACCAUACGUGGCAAAAUUAGCAAUCAGCCGACGUUCUUUUUUUUUCAUGUGGUCAAUGUCGGUCGGCACUGAAAACCAUGGGGAUAACACUUAAGCUAGCGCUUCCAACUGAAACACAACAAGACUGAUUGUAAAACACAUUAGAGUUCUGUGUCUAUAACUGAACAUAUUACUGAUAAAACACA
rnacentral:rRNA from 1 species